rnacentral:rRNA from 1 species
UACGUAGGGUGCAGGCGUUAAUCGGAAUUACUGGGCGUAAAGCGUGCGCAGGCGGUCUUUUAAGUCAGAUGUGAAAUCCCCGGGCUUAACCUGGGAACUGCGUUUGAAACUGAAAGGCUAGAGUGUGGCAGAGGGGGGUGGAAUUCCACGUGUAGCAGCGAAAUGCGUAGAGAUGUGGAGGAACACCGAUGGCGAAGGCAGCCCCCUGGGCUAACACUGACGCUCAUGCACGAAAGCGUGGGGAGCAAACAGG